rnacentral:rRNA from 1 species
ACAAGCAGCGGAGCGUGUGGUUUAAUUCGAUGCUACACGAAGAACCUUACAGGUUUGACAUGCAAGUGGUAGGAAACUGAAAGGGACCGACCCUUCGGGGAGCCUAUACAGGUGUUGCAUGGCUGUCGUCAGCUCGUGUCGUGAGAUGUUCGGUUAAGUCCGCUAACGAGCGCAACCCUCGUCGUAUGUUAUAUGUGUCAUACGAGACUGCCGGUAAAAGCCGGAGGAAGGUGAGGAUGAUGUCAAGUCAGCAUGACCUUUAUAUCCAGGGCUACACACACGCUACAAUGGUCUGUACAAUGGGUAGCCAAGCCGCGAGGCGGAGCCAAUCCUGAAAGCAGGCCUCAGUUCAGAUUGCAGUCUGCAACUCGACUGCAUGAAGCCGGAGUUGCUAGUAACCGCAGGUCAGCAAUACUGCGGUGAAUACGUUCCCGGGUCUU